GUCCAACUGACGAGUCUAAAAUAGUACGAAACACGUCCUGGAU
rnacentral:hammerhead_ribozyme from 1 species